GGCGGCCGGGGAGAAACAGCUCAGCGUGGUGCUGGAGCUCGGGGGGUCCCGCCCCAUCAACUCCCUGCACAUCGGGAAUGACGGAGCCGCUUUCGUGGAGGUGCUCGGGGGGUCCUCGGCCGGGGGGGACUUCCAGGUGCUGCUCCCCUCCUCAGCCCUGAUGUCCCCCAGCGAGAGCCGGGCGGGGACGGGGCCCAGGCGGGUUCGGCUCUUCGG